CAUGAGCCCCGCCGUGCCGUGAGGCCGCGGGCCUAAAGACGGGUGCAGCAGUCGUUCAUCUCGUUGGACAAAAUGCCUCGCUUGACCGGAUGGAGUGCCUCCGAUGAGCCACCCACCCGCAGCACAUAACAUUCCGAAUCCGAGAGCACGGGCGAAGAGCCUCGUGCGCCGAGGCAGCCAUGCAACUGGGCUAGGCGUGCCGGGGACACGAGGCUUGCCUGGCGUCCGACCCACCACCCGUGAGGGCAUGGGACGGAGAUAAACAAACGAGCCAUCGAAUU
rnacentral:misc_RNA from 1 species